GUGGGGAAUCUUGCGCAAUGGGCGAAAGCCUGACGCAGCCAUGCCGCGUGAAUGAUGGAGGUCUUAGGAUUGUAAAAUUCUUUCACCGGGGACGAUAAUGACGGUACCCGGAGAAGAAGCUCCGGCUAACUUCGUGCCAGCAGCCGCGGUAAUACGAAGGGGGCUAGCGUUGCUCGGAAUUACUGGGCGUAAAGGGCGCGUAGGCGGACAGCUUAGUCAGAGGUGAAAGCCCAGGGCUCAACCUUGGAAUUGCCUUUGAUACUGGCUGUCUUGAGUUUGGGAGAGGUGAGUGGAACUCCGAGUGUAGAGGUGAAAUUCGUAGAUAUUCGGAAGAACACCAGUGGCGAAGGCGACUCACUGGCCCAAUACUGACGCUGAGGCGCGAAAGCGUGGGGAGCAAACAGGAUUAGAAACCCCGGUAGUCC
rnacentral:rRNA from 1 species